AUUAAAUUUUGUUUUAGUUUAAAAAUUUUAUUUGAAUUUUAGAUACAUGUAAAUUUUUGUUAUUUAUUAAAUAUGUAGAGUAUAUGCAAUAUUAAGUUUUAAAAAUUAAGGAUACUUAGAUUUAGGAAUAUUUAUAGUUUUAACAAAAUUUGUGCCAGCAGUUGCGGUUAAACAAAUAAUGCAAUAAAAUUUUAUUAAUUAUAAUUAUUUUGAUUUAUAAGUUAAUUUUAAUUUAAAUUUAUUAAGUAAAAUUUUAAAUUUAAAAGUAUUUAAUUUUAUUAUAAUGAAGUUAGAAAAUUUUUUUUAAAAACUAGGAUUAGAUACCCUAUUAUUAAAAGAGUAAGCAAGAAAAAUUAAAUUAUUAAAAGUUAAGUUCUUUAAAAUUAAAAAUUUUGGCGGUAUUUUAGUCUUUUCAGAGGAACCUGUUCUAUAAUUGAUACUCCACGUUUAAAAAACUUAGUUUAGAAAUUUAUAUAUCAUUGUAAAAGAAUAUUUUUUUAGAAUUUUGAAUAUUCAAAAUUUAAUAAAUUAAAAAAAAUCAAAUCAAGGUGUAGUUUAUAACUAAGAAGAAAUGGGUUACUUUAUUUAAUAAUUACUGGAUUUAUAAUUUAAAAUUAUAAUGAAAUUGGAUUUGAAAGUAAUUAGAUUUAUAUAUUUUUAAUGAUUAAGCUCUAAGGUAUGUACAUAUUGCCCGUCGCUUUCAUAUAAAAUGAAAUAAGUCGUAACAUAGUAGGUGUACUGGAAAGUGUAUCUUGAAUGAU
rnacentral:ncRNA from 1 species